rnacentral:rRNA from 1 species
CCUACGGGGGGCAGCAGUGGGGAAUUUUGGACAAUGGGCGAAAGCCUGAUCCAGCCAUGCCGCGUGCAGGAUGAAGGCCUUCGGGUUGUAAACUGCUUUUGUACGGAACGAAAAGCCUCUUUCUAAUAAAGAGGGGUCAUGACGGUACCGUAAGAAUAAGCACCGGCUAACUACGUGCCAGCAGCCGCGGUAAUACGUAGGGUGCAAGCGUUAAUCGGAAUUACUGGGCGUAAAGCGUGCGCAGGCGGUUUUGUAAGACAGUGGUGAAAUCCCCGGGCUCAACCUGGGAACUGCCAUUGUGACUGCAAGGCUGGAGUGCGGCAGAGGGGGAUGGAAUUCCGCGUGUAGCAGUGAAAUGCGUAGAUAUGCGGAGGAACACCGAUGGCGAAGGCAAUCCCCUGGGCCUGCACUGACGCUCAUGCACGAAAGCGUGGGGAGCAAACAGGAUUAGAUACCCGUGUAGU